ACGUGUAACCAAUCUAUUUUAAUUUUCCACUUUUAUCGGAAAUGCCGAUUUACGCAAAAACGUAUAUCACGCGCUUUUGGGCACGAAAUUUUUCAUCAAUUUUGCGUCGACAGCGUGAUACUUCUUAUAUUGAAAUUGAAGUCGUCGGCGAGAUGGACAACAUCGAAUUAUAUUCAGAUCACGUUGUUUUUGAA